UACGAAGGGGGCUAGCGUUGUUCGGAUUUACUGGGCGUAAAGCGCACGUAGGCGGAUCGUUAAGUCAAGGGUGAAAUCCUGGAGCUCAACUCCAGAACUGCCUUCGAUACUGGCGAUCUAGAGUCCGGAAGAGGUGAGUGGAACUCCUAGUGUAGAGGUGGAAUUCGUAGAUAUUAGGAAGAACACCAGUGGCGAAGGCGACUCACUGGUCCGGUACUGACGCUGAGGUGCGAAAGCGUGGGGAGCAAACAGG
rnacentral:rRNA from 1 species